rnacentral:tRNA from 1 species
GAUCAGAUGGCCUAGUUGGUCUAAGGCGCCAGAUUAAGGCUCUGGUCCGAAAGGGCCUGGGGUCAAAUCCCACUCUGGUUA